rnacentral:lncRNA from 1 species
AAUUUUUCUCAAAAUUGACUAGAGUUUUAUUGCGAGAGGUCAUUAGAUUAUGUGAAACUGAGUGUAACCCCCCACAAAAAAAAACUCUACAUUUUGCUGAGAAUAAACUAGAGUUUUAUUGCGAGAAAAAGUAGAAUUAACUCUACAUUUUGCAUAGGCAUGUCCCUAACAUGGACGGUCAAUCCACCGAUGAGCAGACAUGGAAAUUACAGGAUGAACUAAUCCUUGGAGCAGAUGUGGCAAUAGCAAGCCCCGUCCAAUGGCGCAAGCGAGCCAUCAUUAAUGCAGGCGGCGGUCUCGAGCCUGAUGCAGUCCGGGCACACGUACUCCUGCAGAUGCUUCUGGCAGUUGGCCAUGCAAUCUUGUUGCUUGCAAAAGUGCUUCGGAAGGACGGCGUCAUAUUUACACCACGCA